rnacentral:lncRNA from 13 species
UCGAAGUUGGUACACCUGGGGUCUGAGCGGUAUCCGAAGCGAAAAAGGGGCGUGGUUUGCGGAUUUUGCACACACCAUAAUACUUCCACCAUGAGAAGAAGCCAUUAUAAACGAGUCGUUGGUUGGCCGUAUACCACAUAUCCUGUAUUCCCAUAAGAAAUACCUUGGUUACGUAUAUAUACAAUAAGAUAUAAUUAUACAAUAACGUUGAGAAGAAGAAGGAGCCAGAGAAGAAGAUCGGUAUCGCUCAAUAUCGGUAUUAAGAUAUGGCGACAACACCCGAAUCAUUUGUGGACGAAAGA